AUUGAACGCUGGCGGAAUGCUUUACACAUGCAAGUCGAACGGCAGCACGGGGCCAACCCUGGUGGCGUGUGGCGAACGUGUGUGUAAUACAUCGGAACGUGCCCGGUCGUGGGGGAUCACGUAGCGAAAGUUACUCUUAUCCCGCAUACGCUCUGAGGAUGAACGCGGGGCACUUUCGCGCCUCGCGCUUUCGGCGCGCCCGAUGUCAGAUUAGGUAGUUGGUGGGGUAAAGGCCUACCAAGCCGACGAUCUGUAGCUGGUCUGAGAGGACGACCAGCCACACUGGGACUGAGACACGGCCCAGACUCCUACGGGAGGCAGCAGUGGGGAAUUUUGGACAAUGGGCGCAAGCCUGAUCCAGCCAUUCCGCGUGCAGGACGAAGGCCUUCGGGUUGUAAACUGCUUUUGUAUGGAACGAAAAGGCUCUGGCUAAUACCUGGGGCUCAUGACGGUACCGUAAGAAUAAGCACCGGCUAACUACGUG
rnacentral:rRNA from 1 species